ACUGGGUCACCUUCCACAGCGGCUACGACUUCGGCUACCUCCUCAAGCUCCUCACUUGCCAGAACCUCCCCGACACCCAGGCCGGCUUCUUCGCCCUCAUCAAGAUCUACUUCCCCAUGGUCUACGACAUCAAGCACCUCAUGAAGUUCUGCAACAGCCUCCACGGGGGCCUCAACAAGCUCGCCGAAUUGCUCGAAGUCGAGCGCGUCGGGAUCUGCCACCAGGCCGGGUCCGAUAGCUUGCUCACGUCCUGUACCUUCAGGAAGUUGAAGGAGUCGUUCUUCAACGGCUCCACCGAAAAGUACGCCGGCGUGUUGUAUGGUCUCGGUGUGGAGAAUGGGUUGAACACUCAUUGAGUGGGGAAAAAAAGGAGAAAACUUUAUUCUAAUAAAAUAUGAAUUAAUGAAAAGAUAGUCUGUUUGGUGAAAAUAUAUUUCUCAUUUCCGUGUCGAUUUGUUCGUUUUGGUGCAAUUUGCUUUAGAUAUGUUAAUUAGAUGCGCAAAGGCAUUGGCUUUAAUUGAUUCUAUGGUCUACUUCUUAUUGGGCUGAAUUAGGUAUUAAUCCUCACGAGUUCAAUUGUUCGAGUUUUAUGACAAUUCUCUAGGAUAUUCUGGUUAAGUUUAGAUAAUACACUAGUGCCACUAUAAAUUAGUUAAACAUUUCAUACAGAUAUUUUCCUUUUACAGAGUGGUAUACCUUAUAGGUAAGUUUGUUACUUCAUUCUAUUUGAUCUCUUUAAAUAAGCUUUUUAGCUUUUUUUUGUUUUAGGAUUUAGGAUAACCAAUUGUUUAGGGUCGUAAAUGAUGAGUGUCUUUGUUUUUUCUUGUUUUUUGAGAGCAAUGAUGAGUGCUUAUGUUUCUUCACUUUUAAGUAUGUUCUCUUUCUCUGUUUGAUGCUUUUCAUCAUUAUGCAUGUGUGUGAUUAAUUUGCAUUGUUUUUUCUUUUUACCAAGUGAAAAAUUUUAUGUUGUUCUGCUGUACUUCAACCGGGCUUAAGUUAUUUGAAUUCUUGGCGAAUGCAUUUUAUGUUUGUAUCUUUCGCUGUUACUUUUCCGCAUCCUGACAUAGAAUGCCAGGUACUGUUCUGAGACAGUGCCACACUGAAUUCCUUAGUUUCAGCUGAAUAUGUUGUAUCUUUACUUUCAUAGUUUAAGAUUCUUUUGGAAGCUAUCCAUUUUUUAUUUCAUCAGAAUUUCAUGUUUAAAUUUGUUGUUGCUCAUCUUAAAUUCUCGGACCAAUACUUUUAUCCUUGUGUGCUUAUGCGUAUCUUAAGCAAAGCAAGAGGGCGUCUACCUUCUCCCAAUUGCAUCAAAAAAUGGAUGACUCUAGAUUUAUCAAUGUUAGUGUUAUUCUCUACGUUAAGUUCCUUAGUCACCAAAUAAGGCAACGUAGGAAGAGCUGCAUAUCGCAAAGUAUUAAGCCGCAUUAAUUGUAAAAUAUAGAUUUCAAGCUUGAAAUGGCAAGAAAGGUAUAACUUUGCUUCUCAACCUGUGUUACUUUUGUUCUGUUGUUCAGGGUUCUUUUGUUUUUUUUUUAGUUUAUUGGGAUUCUUGUUUUUGAUUCUAGGAAGAAGGUCGGAGUCCGUCUUCUGUGAGAGUAACCAUACUUAUAUCUGAUUGUAAUGUUUGAACAUAUGGUCCCUUUCGUGCUUAUUUAUUGAAGUAUUGGUGGGUGCGUCUCUGCGGGAAAAUCUGAAAGAGGAGUGACUAGAUGGAGCGAGUGAUUCUGAAUUACCUGGAUCUCAUUCCAAUCAGUGAUUACUAUUAUUAGGCUAGUUGGAUGGGAGUAUGUUAUGUACACUUUGCUAGAAAACAUGAAGAGUGAUGUCCUCAAAGUGUCAUGCUUCAUUUUUAUGCCGUGGACUAUGACAACUUCUUUGUUGAUAGAAUUCCUGAUACUGUUACAUGGUUUUCUAUUUAAUUGAGGAUCUAAUAUUGCUGCAAGUGUAACUGUUUGAAGAGCCACUUAGGGAAGGAUCUGAAGAUGAAAUGGUUAUUAAGAGGUUAUCGAGAGUUUGAUACUUUGGAGCAUCAUGUUUGUUACCUGUGUUGUGCAUGCCAGUGAGAGAUAGAUCUUUGUCAAGAGCUUUUCGUAUCAUUUAAAACUUUCGCAUGAUUUUUCAUUUAAUGGAGAUGCUACUGCUGCUGGUAACUAUAUCAGUUACUUAUUAAUUCAGUGUUUGACAUUGAGCUUCGUUUGGUUCUUUUACAGUGUUCGACAUUGAGCUUCGUUUGGUUCUUUUGCUUAACUGUAAAGUAUAAAGGAGAUGCAACACUAAAUUAUGCUUUCAUCAUCUUUUUUCCGUACGCAAACUAAUCCUUGUCUAAAGACUUUCCUAGAGGAUAGCUCCUGAGUUGUGCAAGCCUUAAUGUGUGUUUAGUUUAUUUAACUACUAAUAUCACUUGCAAGUUUUAUCGCAAGUCACCCCUUUAUUACCUGGUGUUGCUUCGGUAGAACUUUGACGCUGCGACUAAAGAGAGAGGUGAUGUUUGGUUGACAUUCUGGCUGGUAAUAUGUUUUUCUUCUGUCUUCAAGUUGUGCACUUAUUGUUGUGAGACUACUGGAAUGAAGAGAGGAUGACGACAAAUCUGACAAUUUGAUGUCUCAAUUGCAAGUUCAAUUGCUUCUGAUGCCAAAAUGGUACUUUGCUAGUGAGCUGGUAUUGAAUUUUUUCUUCUUUUCUUCGCAGAGGUAAUUAUCAUACGUACUCGCCUUCGAGAUUUGUUCGCAUGUGGAUAAAAUCAUGUAUUUGCUGCUUCUGCUUCCAUGGGCUUAUGCCCAAAGUGCUUCUUCUGAUAGCUUCAUAUUAUAUGCCUGUUAUAAGUCUAUGAGCAUCAUUGAAUGUGGAUGUAGCUGCUACUAAAGAAUCCUGUCUAGAAGUUGGCUCAUGUACUGCAACAUCUGAUGUUUCUGGUGCAGUAUUGGGUUUUUUUAUAUUCAUGAUUUUUCCUUUUUUUUUCUUUUUUUUUGUGUGUUUCACUUCACGGCGACCGCACUAUUUAGCGGCUUUCACUGCUGUUUGGUGUUAUUCGGAUUCCUUAUUUUUAUUGCAUGCAUGUUUUCGCUUCGCUGAUGUUGUUUUCGUAUCUGCAAGACUUGGUUAUUUCAAUUUCCUCUUUAUUAGGUAUUUGUUGCUAUUGUUUGUUUUUCUGUUUCUUUUUUUUUUUUUUCCAAUUGUAGAACUCCAUUCAUUUUCUUUUCCUUCGGUUGCCAAAACUUCGCAGAUUGGAUGAUAAUAUUUUAAGCUCUUUAAAUAAUUUAAAUUCAUUAUUUUUAACAAAAUUAUUUAUGAUUUUAAUUUAAUGAAUGGUUAACUCAAUCGUUUAAAAUUAAUUGGCAACUGUACAGCAUUAAAUCUGACACUUCACGAUUUCCGAGGCGGUUGGGGGCAAUGAUGAAGAAAGGGGAAGAGAGGAGGGGCAUUUCCGUCAAUGUAACUUUUCUGAUCACGCACGAACAACGACGAGCGAGAAAGAGGGGAAGGGCAAUUUUGGAAAUUCGUGUAGUCGGAUUAUUCUAGAUUCUUGAUCACGGCCCUCCGUUACCCAUCCAACGGCUUUGAUUCGCCAUGAAAACACUAAAUAAAACCAACGAGCCCUACGCCCACCUCUUUGUCUUCUUCGUCGUCUUCUUCUUCCCCAGAAACCCUAAUUCGGAGGUAGCGCGUUCUCUCUCUCUCUCGCUCGCUAUUUGAGCAGCAAUGGCGGAGGAGGAGCGUGUUCUCCAUGCGAUCCCUCAUCUCAUCUCAUCUCUCUCUCUCUCUCUCUCUCUCUCUCUCUCUCUCUAUUUUCGCAACAAUGGCGGAGGAGGAGCGUGGUCUCCAUGCGACCCCUCGCCUCGUCCACCUCAUCGCGCGUCCGCAUACGACGCCGACUAUGAGGCAACAAGCUACUGCUAUGAACCCUAGUAUCCUCGGUGGGUGCGGUGGCCGGAGGGCCUAGCGCCGCCGCGGCGCACCGGGAGGGGUUUGAAGCCAAAUCCUAGACCUGGUCCACCGCGCCAUCCGUGGACCGAGCCAAUCGGAUCGCAUCCUGUGGAAAUUGUAUGUAAGCGUUGCACUAUUCUUUCUUUUCCUCAUCACAAUGAACAUAUCCUUCAAAAAUUUUCAUUCAUUUUCUUUUUUCCCCAAUGGAUCAUGAAAAAAGAAAGGGUAAACUUCAAAUUGCCCCCCGUGUUUUAGCUCAUUUUUACUUUGCCACUCCGUGAUUCCAAAAGUUUUACUCUUUUUUGCUCCCCUGUGGUUUAUAGCUCAUUUUCCAUUUAGGGUCCGUUUGGUUCAACGUAAAACUGUGAAAGAUAAUUUUCGGUGGAAAAGAAAUUUCGAUGGAAAAAAAAACGCUCUUUAACGUUUUAUUUGUAGGGGAAAAAAGGAGCUUUCCAAUGCUUGUUUGAUUGAAAGAAAAAAUUUGAAUGAAAAAUAAUUUUAAAUAUUUUUGUUCUGUUAUAUUAUGUAUCAUUAUUUAUAUAAAUAAUUAUCAUAUUAUAUUUAUAUAAUUAAUAUUUAUAUCUAUAUAUAUUAGUAUAAUCAUCAUCAUCAUCAUCAUCUAUAUGUAUUCCAGCCUAGUUCUAUAAUAUAUAAUAACAUGGAUAUAAUAUAUAAAUAUGAGGCCCGCUACAGUGCUAUCAAUAGCACCAAACACUUGAUGUUACCAAAUUUUUCUCCAUUAGAUCUAUCCCUUCGACUAGUUCCACUCCUUAGAUCAUAUUGUUCUACCAACCACUCACUAAACUCUAGAGGGAUCACUGUCAUUAUAACCGCACAUCCUUCAUCGAAGAGCCGAAAAACUGAUAGUACCUAUAACUUGGUGCUAUUAAUAGUAUUCUUGCCUAGUUCUAUAUAUAUAUAUAUAUAUAUAUAUAUAUAUAUAAAGAGGGUAAGAGACCAUCAUCCUCCAGAGAGUUUUCGUUCUCCGCCGAAAAACAGCGGAAAACGGAAACUUCAAAUUUUCCAUUUACGGCUCAAUUCUCUCUCUACUGAUGUUGGCAUGGCAGCUGGGUGGCCUGCUGUUGGGCAGGCUUGCUGCAGCUACACAGUCGUUACGAGAGUGGAAUCUCUGUUGAUCUUUUCAUCUCUCUACCUUUAACAUCUUUCUCACUUGCUGUUCUUUUUUCUGUUUUAUUUGGGGGGUUUCAGUUUGAUUUAUUGCAUAUAUUUUUUCUUAAAAUUUUGAUUUUGACUUUUCAACUCAAAUUGUUGGAUGAACAAUUUAGUAUUUGAAUCAUACUUUCCCUAUUUUUUGGAGCUUUUUGAGUAUCAAUAAAUCAAUUCUGUUGGAUAAAUUUCUUCUUCACUAUUUAUUUGGUGAGGGAAAAGGGAUGGCAUUACUUUGAGCGUUGCUUUUGUUCUACAUCGUUGAACUUACGAACAUGCCACAUCGGCCAUUAAAAUAGUCAUUUUGUCCAGGUAAUCUGAGCAUUGCUUUUGUUUUCUUUCCUUCCCUUUUGCUGAGAAAAUCGAAGGUAUUAUUGGAAGCUCGUCAUAUAUUCGUUAUCGUUUUGUUCUUGGUAUUACCAUUUUACCAUUUUAUCAAUUUGUAUUUGUUUCUUGUGAAUUCUUUGAUGAUCAUUUUGUUUUUCGAACUUUGAAAUUAGGUUUUUUUUUUCUUUCCACUCUCUCUUGUUGCAUUCACUGGUUCUUUUCCACUGAAACAGAGCAAAAGUUUCUUUCCCUCAAAAAAAAAUCCAAGGUGCCUGCUGGAUUUCUCUUAGAAAGAAGAAGAAGAAGAAGAAGAGGACAAAAGAAAAAAAAAGAAAAAGAAAGAGAGCAAAUGUGUCCCCUUUGGCCAUUUUCUGCAGGAAAAGAAAAACAAAGGCCUUCUUUCAACAUGACCUUAGUUGAGGGGCUUGUUCCCAGGAUUCCUCCUUGCCUGGGGCUGCAGGGCAGGGAAAUUGCAUUGCCACUUUAGCGGCUCUCUGUACAUUUUCGCCUGAAUGGCUUUGUCCUUGAACCAAAUGCUGCCUGGUUGUUGGCCAGAGAGGAAGUAGUUUGCCAUUUCUGCAACUCUUGCAGGCUGAUGACUCUCUCUCUCUCUCUCUCUCUCUCUCUCUCUCUCUCUCUCUCAAAAUGAGGGACGGAACUUGCAAAAUCGCAAAACUGGUGGAUUUUUUAUGCAAAUUGGCCUUUCUUCAACUCUAGAAAUAGACUUUUCUAUUUUUAAUUACCUUUGUAAUUUUAUGGAUUCUUUACAUGCAGAAGAGAGCAAAAGUUUCUUUCAAAAACUAAAAGGCAGGCAACAUGUUCAUAUCGUUAUCGUCGCAGCCGUUACCCUUUUCCCCAUUUUUGGCAAGUUAAAAAAAAAGACUUUGCGACAUGGACUAAGUUGAGGGGCUUAUUUUCAGAAUUUCUCCACCCCUGGGGCUCGAGGAUAGGUGAAUUGCAGCCUCGGUAAAGGGGGUCUCCAUGCAUUUUUACCUAAAUUGCCUUAUUCUAGAACCAAAUUCUGCCUGGUUGUUGGCCAGAGAGGAAGUGGACCUGCAUUUCGGCUACUCUUGUAGGCUGAUGACUCUCUCUCUCUCUCUCUCUCUCUCUCUAUAUAUAUAUAUAUAUAUAUCAUAUUGCCCGGACUGGUAUUUUGUGCAAGGUGAUGGUGAUGAAUGCUACAUGAUUGUGACUUUCUGCGGAAAGUCCUUCAGUGUGAUCGACUAUAUAUAUAUAUAUAUGCGAAUGUAAAGUUGAGCUACAAUCAAUAGUAGCAACCACUAAACCUAAACUCUGGACCCUAGACCCUAUUGAUCCAUGGGUCAAAAACUUGGUCGCGGCCGCCACUUUGCUACUAUCAAUAGUAUUUUAGCCCCACAAUAAAUUUAUACAUCUAUAUGAAUUCUCUUUCUCUUAUGUGUUACUCUUUUGGGUAAACUUCAAAUACCACCCCUAUGGUUUCGCACUUUCUCACUUUAGUAACCCUGUGGAUUAAAGUGUAUUAAGUUAGUAUCCUGUGGUUUCAUUUUUCUCUUUUCGCCUGCUCCUCCGUUAACAUUUCGUUAAAUUAUAUACAAAAUAUGCUUUCUUCAAAAUAUUUUUUCCCUUCUUUUCCUUCUUGGAGGCGAUGAUGAUAAACACCGCAUCACUGCAAUUUUGUGAGAAGAUGUGCUAUUCUCAUGCAAUGCCAUUAUUUUUCUCUUUCCAUAUGUGUGCAUGUACGCACACACGUUCAUAUAUAUAUAUAUAUAUAUACACAUCUAUUUCUUGGACCUGGUUCACCACAUUUGUUUACUACCCAAUGAAAUGCUUGAUUCUUUGGCGAUGUUGGCUGGGCAGCUGGAUGGCCUUCAACUUGCAGGCAAUGGCUGCAGCUACAUCUCCAGUGUUAGACUGGUGUAUAUGAUUAAUUUUUCCUUUGGUGUUAAAUCUGAGCCUCCGUCAAUCUUUUGCACUUUUUGCUCUCUCUUGUUGCAUUCACUGGUUCUUUACCACUGAAACUGAGCAAAAGUUAAUCCGCAAAAAAAAAAAAAAAAAAAUUCAAGGUGCCUACUGGAUUUCUCUUAGAAAGAAGAAGAAGAAGAGGACAAAAGAGAAAAAAAGAGAGCAAAUGUGUUCCCUUUGGCCAUUUUCUGCAGGAAAAGAAAAACAAAGGUCUUCUUUUAACAUGACUUUAGUUGAGGGGCUUUUUCCCAGGAUUCCUCCAUGCCUGGGGCUGCAGGGCAGGGAAAUUGCAUUGCCACUUUAGCGGCUCUCUGUACAUUUUCGCCUGAAUUGCUUUGUCCUCUAACCAAAUGUUGCCUGGUUGUUGGCCAGAGAGGAAGUAGUUUGCAAUUUCUGCAACUCGUGUAGGCUGAUGACUCUCUCUCUCUCUCUCUCUCAAAAGAGGGACCGAACUUGCAAAAUCUCAAAACUGGUGGAUUUUUUAUGCAAAUUGGCCUUUCUUAAACUUUAGAAAUAGAAUUUUCUAUUUUUACUUACCUUUGUAAUUUUAUGGAUUCUUUACAUGCAGAAGAGAGCAGAAGUUUUUUCAAAAACUAAAGGCAGGGAACAUGUCCGUAUCGUUAUUGUUGCUGCUGUUACCCUUUUGGCCAUUUUUGGCAAGUUGAAAAAAAAGACUUUGCGACAUGGCCAUAGUUGAGGGGCUUUUUCAGAAUUUCUCCACCCCUGGGGCUUGAGGAUAGGUGAAUUGCAGCCCCGGUAAAGGGGGUCUCCAUGCAUUUUUACCUAAAUUGCCUUAUUCUAGAACAAAUUCUACCUGGUUUUUGGCCAGAGAGGAAGUAGACCGGCAUUUCUGCUACUCUUUUAGGCUGAUGACUCUCUCUCUCUCUCUCUCUCUCUCUCUCUCUCUCUCUCUCUAUAUAUAUAUAUAUAUAUAUAUAUGGGUUAAUUUCAUACAGCUCCCUGCAAAUAAUAUCUCUCUCUCUCCCUCUCAUACUGCCUGGACUGGUAUUUUGUGCAAGGUGAUGGCAAUGAAUUCCACAUGAUUGUGACUUUCUGCGGAAAGUNCAAAAAAAAUAACAGCUAAUAUUAGUGUUAAUGAUAAAAAUAACAAAAACUAAUACAUAUGUGACACUAUGUUCAAUAAUAAAGGAUCUUAGAACUUACUAUGAGUCCAAAUUUGCACCUAAAAACCCUUAACGGGUACCGGAUCCAACCCGACCCGAUAGUUACCUACACCGCCUUUUCUUUUCCCCCUAUAAAUACCCUCGAACCCGGGAGUCUUCGUUUCCCCGCUCCCCUACUCCCGUUCGGGUUUUUUAGUCCAAUAGUCUUCUCCUAAAAUUUUAUUCUAAAAAUAGACCUGUUAAAUUUUUAUUUAUAAACAUAGUCCUAUAAAAGCGAUGAAUGGUUCACCGCUUUUAAAUACGGUGAACCAUUCACCGUUUUUUUUUUUUUUCUCACUUUUUUCUAUAUGUUGGUUUGUAUUUGUUUCCUUUUGCUUUGAUUUUUUUUUGGUUACUUUAAGCGGUUCUUCUCUUCUUGUUUUCUUUCCAAUUCCCUUGAUCCAAACCUGAGCGACUGCUGUAUUUAGCAGCUUGUUACGAGAAGUCUGCAAGGGUAUUUGUGCAGUUCCGCACUCUGCAGGGAUAUAUAUAUAUAUAUAUAUAUAUAUAUAUAUAUAUAUAUAUAUAUAUAUAUAUAUAUGCGAACAUUCAUCUUCAUUUCGGAUAGUGUCUCUCAGUGUAUCGAAGGUUUUAUUACAACCAAAAGGUGGUUCUAGAGGUAGCAUCGCUCUUCAUUUAUUAUAUAUUGCUAUCUGCAUUGCCGAACUCAAAAAAUAAGGUAAGAUAAAUAAUAAAUUGGUUGAAGGGAAAGUUACCUGUUCAUAUUAUCUAAUUUCGACGUUUUGCUGACCCAGGGGCCUAAAUGUAUAUUGAAGUUACAUUAUUUUUCAGUCGGUACAUAUGUAUAAUUUGAUUGCUAUAUAUAUAUGUAAGAGAGAGAGAGAUAGAGAGAGAGAGAUGAGAGAGAGAGAGAGGUCCGGCUUACUCUGCAUAUCAAUAGCACCAAGCGCUUGGUGCUACUAAGUCUUUGGCGUUAGAUCUACCCCAUCUGUUAGAUCAUACUAUUCACCAACCAACCCUCUAACCUAGGCGCGACAUGUGUUCAUCUAAUCACAUCCCUUAUUCAGAGGCCGGAAAAGCUAAUACACAAUGAGUUAGGUGCAUUGAAUAGUUAUAGAGCCACUAUGUAUUGAUUAUAUUAUAUUAUAUAUAUAUAUAUCUAUUAUAUAUAUAUAAUUAUAAUAUAUAUAUUAUUGGAGGCUAGAGUUCAAGCACGAUGAAUAGUGCUUGCUCACUGUUUGAAAGCAGCCAAGAUCGCUAUAUAUAUAUAUAUAUAUAUAUAUAUAUAUGUGCAUGUAUAGUUGAGCUACUAUCAAUAGUAGCAACCACUGAACCCUAAACUCUGGACCCUAGACCCUAUUGAUCCAAGGGUCAAAAAGUUGGUCGCUGCCACCACUUUGCUACUAUCAAUAGUAUUUUCGCCCCACUAUAAAUAUAUACAUCUAUACAAAUUUUCUUUCUGUUAUGUGUUACUCUUUUGGGUAAACUUCAAAUACCAUCCCUGUGGUUUCGCACUUUCUCACUUUGGUACUAUGUGGUUUAAAGUUGAGCUACUAUCAAUAGUAGCAACCACUAAACCCUAAACUCUGGACCCUAGACCCUAUUGAUCCAAGGGUCAAAAGUUGGUCGCAGCCACCACUUUGCUACUAUCAAUAGUAUUUUAGCCCCACUAUAAAUAUAUACAUCUAUAUAAAUUCUCUUUCUGUCAUGUGUUACUCAUUUGGGUAAACUUCAAAUACCAUCCCUGUGGUUUCACACUUUCUCACUUUGGUACUAUGUGGUUUAAAGUGUAUUAAUUUAGUACCUUGUGGUUCGAUUUUUCUCUUUUUGCCAGCUCCCCCGUUAACAUUUUGUUACAUUAUAUACAAAAUAUGCUUUCUUACAAAUUUUUUUUCUUUCUUUUCCUUGGAGGCGAUGAUGAUAAACACCGCAUCACUGCAAUUUUGUGAGAAGAUAUGCUAUUCUCAUGCAAUGCCAUUCUCUUUCUUUCUUUCUUUCUUUCUUUUUCUUUCCAUAUGUGUGCAUGUACACACACACACACACACACAUUCAUAUAUAUAUAUAUAUAUAUACAUCUAUUUCUUGCACCCGGCUCACCACAUUUGUUUACGACCCAAUGAAAUGCUUGUUUCUUUGGUGAUGUUGGCUGGGCAGCUGGAUGGCCUUCAACCGUGCAGGCAAUGGCUGCAGCUACAUCUCCAGUGUUAGACUGGUGUAUAUGAUUAAUUUUUCCUUUGGUGUUAAAUCU
rnacentral:lncRNA from 1 species